rnacentral:rRNA from 1 species
GUGAGGAAUUUUCCGCAAUGGGCGAAAGCCUGACGGAGCAAUGCCGCGUGAAGGAUGAAGGCCUAUGGGUUGUAAACUUCUUUUCUCAGAAAAGAAUUAUGACGGUAUCUGAGGAAUAAGCAUCGGCUAACUCUGUGCCAGCAGCCGCGGUAAGACAGAGGAUGCAAGCGUUAUCCGGAAUGAUUGGGCGUAAAGCGUCUGUAGGUUGUUUAAAAAGUAUUCUGUCAAAGAUUAGGGCUUAACCCUAGAUAGUCAGAAUAAACUUUUAAGCUAGAGUUUGGUAGAGGCAGAGGGAAUUCCCGGUGGAGCGGUGAAAUGCGUAGAUAUCGGGAGGAACACCAAAGGCGAAGGCACUCUGCUGGGCCAAUACUAACACUGAGAGACGAAAGCGAGGGGAGCAAAUGGGAUUAGAAACCCGUGUAGUCC